GGGGAAUUUUGCGCAAUGGGCGAAAGCCUGACGCAGCAACGCCGCGUGAGGGAUGAAGGCCUUCGGGUCGUAAACCUCUGUCAGAGGGGAAGAACCGCCAGCAGGAUAAUACCCUGUUGGCCUGACGGUACCCUCAAAGGAAGCACCGGCUAACUCCGUGCCAGCAGCCGCGGUAAUACGGAGGGUGCAAGCGUUGUUCGGAAUUAUUGGGCGUAAAGCGCGUGCAGGCGGCCAUUUAAGUCUGAUGUGAAAGCCCCGGGCUCAACCUGGGAAGUGCAUCGGAUACUGGGUGGCUUGAGUACGGGAGAGGGAAGCGGAAUUCCGAGUGUAGGGGUGAAAUCCGUAGAUAUUCGGAGGAACACCAGUGGCGAAGGCGGCUUCCUGGACCGAUACUGACGCUGAGACGCGAAAGCGUGGGGAGCAAAC
rnacentral:rRNA from 1 species